AUUCUCUUUUUCAGACACAGUCUCACGAAGCCAAGGAUAGGAUACUCCCCAGUCAACCUUGGACUUCUGAUAUUCCUGCUUCCACCUUUCAAAUGCUGGAUUUUCAGGGUCGUCCUGCGUAGCCUGGACUUUCAGCAAACUGCCGAUCCUUCUGCCUUCCUCUCUGAGUCCCAGCAUGAUAGGUGUGGGCUACCCCACCAGCUGCCAAUCCCUCCUUGCUGCUUCUUUUUCUGCAAGAACAGCCCUCCUCUACCUCCUGCCCAUUGUAAAGCCUUCUGGCCUAGAAUGGCCACUGGAGAAGAAAGCCAGCAGAGAUGGAUAAACCACAUUCAGGCCUUGUGCCACAGCCACAGCUGCCAUGCCAUUUCUAUUGGCACGAGCCGUGAAGGCUGCCAGGAACCCGCCCUGCCCAGGGAACAUGUUUCAAGAGAGCACAGCAGGCAGCUGUUCACAUCUGGCUACACAGCUGGCUGUAGUGAAUCCCAGCUGCUUCUCCCAAAGGGCCAGGAGAGCUGAACUCGGUAAGACGAAGACAGAGCCAAGACACAGAAGCAGCUCUGGGCAAGAUGGAGAAGACCCAUCUGGCCAGAACCACCUGCCCUCAGAGGUCCAUCAGUUCAGCAUUCUCCGCAGCUGCCUGGAGAGGAAAGCAGAAGUCUUACACUUGGCCAGCUUGCGUAGGACCCGUAGGUGAAGGAGAUACACCUCCAUCCAGUCUCAGCCCCAGAGCCUUCUGGUAUCCGCCGGAGAACUGGACACGCCAGGACCAUCCUAGACAUACUGUCUCAUUAACACUAAGAAGGUGUGUUCUCCAGGACUGUCUCAAGUGUUAAGGGACAGAGCCAGGACAAGACCGCAGUAGUGAGACACUCAAGUUUCUUCUCCCUCUACAAGGCCAAGGUGCCUCUCACAGGCCAGCGGAGACAGGAAGGAGGAAGGAACACAUAAAUCCAGCUGUCGCAAAGGAGAGCAGAAGACAGAGAAAACACCAUUCUCCUCUUCAAACCAAAACAAACACACUCUGGGGCUGCUGAUUCAACAUGAAUCUGUGGAAUGCAGGGAGAUGCCUGGUGGGAGUACCCCCCACUGCUUCCGGGUGGGCGCUAGCCGCCGAGGCUGAGGACAGCGCCUCGUCUGUCUUCCACCACCGCCCGGUCCUCUAAGGUCCUCUAAGAGAACCUCUGGACAGCUCCAAACGCCCGGCCUCUUCAUCACCUCACUCGGCAAGGCCAAGCCCUUGAGAAGCAGUCCGGCCUGCUUCUGCAGAGGGCGUGGCUGCUUGUGACCACAGGCUAAAUGAGAAGGGUAAUGGGGGCUUAAACGCAUCUAUUCCCGGGUCCUCCCCAGGAGGAAGAGAAGAGGGAUGCAAUAGGUGUUUAUUUUACAGAGUUCUCCCAGCCCAGGAGAGAAGCUAAUGUUAGGUACUGGAUUCUCAGGGCGCUGAACAACAAGAGACCCUACUUGUGCUCGCCAAAGAGGUCUGAGUCGCGAAGCGGCCGCGUCUAGACAGGUUCUGGCCAAGUCAGCACUUGCCAUGAUUACUGCCCCUCAUCCUCCACUUCCCGCCAAGCCCCACAAUCGGAGGGCCGCCCCCCUGAAUCCGGGCUCACAAGGAAAGGCCGGCAGCGUCAGGCCUGGAAGUCAGCGGGCCCAGGUCUCGUCUCUGACCUAGCUCAGGUCAGGUAUCCGGGCACCUACCCUCCUCAGCAUCCCACCUCGCCGCCGCCAGGCUGACUUACAG